rnacentral:rRNA from 1 species
CCCCUAGAUGUUCUGGGCCGCACGCGCGCUACACUGAACAGUUCAACAAGUCUUAACCUUGGCCGAUAGGUCUGGGUAAUCUUUGAACGCUGUUCGUGAUUGGGAUAGACCUUUGCAAUUAUGGGUCUUCAACGAGGAAUUCCUAGUAAACGCAAGUCAUCAGCUUGCAUUGAUUACGUCCCUGCCCUUUGUACACACCGCCCGUCGCACCUACCGAUUGAAUAAUCCGGUGAAAUCUCGGGACGGCGGCUUGGUCGCUUGCGUCCGACUGCUGAAACUUGAUUAAACCAUAUCAUUUAGAGGAAGGUGAANUCGUANCA